rnacentral:rRNA from 1 species
GGCCGUUACGAUGUCGAUUUGGAUGUUGUGCCCUUGAGGCGUGGCUUCCGAAGCUAACGCGUUAAAUCGACCGCCUGGGGAGUACGGCCGCAAGGUUAAAACUCAAAUGAAUUGACGGGGGCCCGCACAAGCGGUGGAGCAUGUGGUUUAAUUCGAUGCAACGCGAAGAACCUUACCUACUCUUGACAUCCAGCGAAUCCUGUAGAGAUACGGGAGUGCCUUCGGGAACGCUGAGACAGGUGCUGCAUGGCUGUCGUCAGCUCGUGUUGUGAAAUGUUGGGUUAAGUCCCGCAACGAGCGCAACCCUUAUCCUUUGUUGCCAGCGGUUCGGCCGGGAACUCAAAGGAGACUGCCAGUGAUAAACUGGAGGAAGGUGGGGAUGACGUCAAGUCAUCAUGGCCCUUACGAGUAGGGCUACACACGUGCUACAAUGGCGUAUACAAAGAGAAGCGAACUCGCGAGAGCAAGCGGACCUCAUAAAGUACGUCGUAGUCCGGAUUGGAGUCUGCAACUCGACUCCAUGAAGUCGGAAUCGCUAGUAAUCGUGGAUCAGAAUGCCACGGUGAAUACGUUCCCGGGCCUUGUACACACCGCCCGUCACACCAUGGGAGUGGGUUGCAAAAGAAGUAGGUAGCUUAAC